rnacentral:rRNA from 1 species
GACGAACGCUGGCGGCGUGCUUAACACAUGCAAGUCGAACGGAAAGGCCCCUUUGGGGGUACUCGAGUGGCGAACGGGUGAGUAACACAUGGGUAACCUGCCCUUGACUUCGGGAUAACUUCAGGAAACUGGGGCUAAUACCGGAUAGGAAUCCUUGCUGCAUGGUGGGGGUUGGAAAGCUUCGGCGGUUUUGGAUGGACUCGCGGCUUAUCAGCUUGUUGGUGGGGUAGUGGCUUACCAAGGCUUUGACGGGUAGCCGGCCUGAGAGGGCGACCGGCCACAUUGGGACUGAGAUACGGCCCAGACUCCUACGGGAGGCAGCAGUGGGGAAUAUUGCACAAUGGGCGGAAGCCUGAUGCAGCAACGCCGCGGGCGGGAUGACGGCCUUCGGGUUGUAAACCGCUUUCAGCAGGGGCGAAGCUUGUGGUGACGGUACCUGCAGAAGAAGCACCGGCUAACUACGUG